CUGCUGCCUCCCGUAGGAGUUUGGGCCGUGUCUCAGUCCCAAUGUGGCCGGUCACCCUCUCAGGUCGGCUACUGAUCGUCGGCUUGGUGGGCCGUUACCCCGCCAACUACCUAAUCAGACGCGGGUCCAUCCUGUACCACCGGAGUUUUUCACACCGGACCAUGCGGUCCUGUGCGCUUAUGCGGUAUUAGCAGUCAUUUCUAACUGUUGUCCCCCUGUACAGGGCAGGUUACCCACGCGUUACUCACCCGUCCGCCACUCAGUCA
rnacentral:rRNA from 1 species